UCUUAAAUGCUGAUUGACGGACCUCAUUUC
rnacentral:piRNA from 1 species